UACAGAGGUCUCAAGCGUUGUUCGGAUUCAUUGGGCGUAAAGGGUGUGUAGGUGGCGCGCUAAGUCGGGUGUGAAAUUUCGGAGCUUAACUCCGAAACUGCAUUCGAUACUGGCGUGCUUGAGGACUGGAGAGGAGACUGGAAUUCAUGGUGUAGCGGUGGAAUGCGCAGAUAUCAGGAGGAACACCAACAGCGAAGGCAGCUCGCUGGGACGGUAUUGACGCUGAGGCGCGAAAGCGUGGGGAGCAAACAGG
rnacentral:rRNA from 1 species